rnacentral:rRNA from 1 species
UCGGACGAGUAAAGCGGCGGACGGGCGAGUAACGCGUAAUCAACCUGCCCCCGAGACUGGAAUAGCCACUGGAAACGGUGGGUAAUGCCAGAUGGUCCCCCGGAUCGGCAUCGAUCUGGGGGUAAACGGUGGCGAAAGCUGCUGCUCAGGGAGGGGAUUGCGUCCUAUCAGCUAGUUGGUGGGGUAAUGGCUCACCAAGGCGAUGACGGGUAGCUGGUCUGAGAGGACGACCAGCCGCACUGGGACUGAGACACUGCCCAGACUCCUACGGGAGGCUGCAGUCGAGAAUCUUCCGCAAUGGGCGAAAGCCUGACGGAGCGACACCGCGUGCAGGACGAAGGCCCUCGGGUUGUAAACUGCUGUCGAGCUCUAGGAAACCCAUGUCGUUAAUAGCGGCAUGGCUGACUAAAGCAGAAGGAAGUGGCGGCUAACUCUGUGCCAGCAGCCGCGGUAAGACAGAGGCCACGAACGUUGUUCGGAAUCACUGGGCAUAAAGCGCACGUAGGCGGCUAGGUCCGUCCAAUGUGAAAGCCCCCGGCUCAACCGGGGAAUUGCAUCGGAUACAGCCUGGCUUGAGGACGGUUGGGGUGAGUGGAACUCCUGGUGGAGCGGUGAAAUGCGUAGAUAUCAGGAGGAACACCGGUGGCGAAAGCGGCUCACUGGACCGUUACUGACGCUGAGGUGCGAAAGCUAGGGGAGCAAACGGGAUUAGAUACCCCGGUAGUCCUAGCCGUAAACGAUGGGCACUGGGUAGGGGGGAAGCCUAUGCUCUUCCCUGCC